UGCCAGCCGCCGCGGUAAUACGGAGGGUGCAAACGUUGCUCGGAAUAACUGGGCGUAAAGGGUGCGUAGGCGGCCCAACAAGUCAGAUGUGAAAGCCCUCGGCUCAACCGAGGAAUUGCAUUUGAAACUGUUGGGCUUGAGUUCGGUAGAGGAAAGCGGAAUUCCUGGUGUAGCGGUGAAAUGCGUUGAUAUCAGGAGGAACACCAGUGGCGAAGGCGGCUUUCUGGGCCGAUACUGACGCUGAUGCACGAAAGCGUUGGGUAGCAAACGGGAUUAGAUA
rnacentral:rRNA from 1 species